rnacentral:misc_RNA from 1 species
UAGAAUCUUUUAAUUAGUUUUGCCAAAGAGACGUCUAUAUUUUUUGUUACUUGUAUUAUUAUUUUUAAGUUAGCAGUCAAAUAUAUUUAAAAUAGUCAAAAUAUGGAAAGAUAUUACCAUACAUUUCAAACGUGUGUAAACCUGUAUUUUGGUAAAUGUACCGCAAGUAUUGAAUAACAAACAUCUUUUUCUGUAUUGCAAUGUGAAUUGAAUAGUUAAGUUUGUAGUUCAAAUUCAUAAUUUGAUGUUUCUUUUGUUUUUGGUGCAAGGUUUCCAAUAUGAUUUGAUGCCUUUGCUUAAUUUGCUAGCUAGAGAAUAUAGUUUGUAUUUAACUAAUACAUAAAGGUAUACAGAGUACCUUUACUUGACAGAAACCAUCUAGUAGCAAAUGUUCUGCUUGUUGCUUUUCAAUGAGACAUCAUAAUUCUGUCUUUAUACACUAGUGAUGUGUGUUGAACCAACACUAGUAUUUCAAAUUAUGAGACGUAUUUUUUGCAAUUCAUUAGGAAAUUCAUCACAAAGGACUGCUUAAUCAAGCCAAGAAAUUGCGUCACUGUGUACAAUUUUCUUGAAAUUAUUUCAAGCGAUGUUAACGUGAAUGCGUAUUUAUUAAUUGCUAGUAAAAAUACCUUACAAAAGCACAUUAAUGUUUAUGAAGAAGAAAUUGUAUUACAAAUGGAACGAUCUCUACCAAUCCUAUUUGAUGUUGACAUGUCCUACAAUUGUUUAAUUUCUUGCAGAUAUUUCCUGUUUGCAUAUAAUUUACAUGACAUAGCCAGAAUUUUAAACUAAAUCUUAAAAAGGAAAAAAAAACAACUGUGGAAAUUUUAAUUCACUGCUUAAAUUUCUUUUAUGAUGAUAAAAUAACUUAUAAACAAAGUGAUGAAAUGAAUGUUUGUAAUCAAAUUAAGUAAGAUAGAUAUAGGUUGAACAAUUUGAUUUUCCACCAUCUGUGAUUUUUGUUUAUAAUUUUCUGUAAUUUAUUACAACAUAUAAAUCAUUAUACAAUG